rnacentral:lncRNA from 1 species
AAAAUAUUAAAAAGAGAAUCAGAAUAGCCAAAACUGGAAAUAACUCAAAUAUCCAUCAACAGAUGAGUGAAAAAACAAAUUGUAUAGAUCUUUACAAUGGAAUGCUAUUUGCAACAAAAAGGAGCAAUCUACUGACACACACAACAUGGAUGAAUCUACGCUAGAAAAAGAAGCCAAACACAAAUGAGUAUAUUGUAUAUUACCAUUAUUAUAAAACAAAUUCUAGACAGAAAAACUAAAAGAUACUGAUAGAAAAUAGAUGAAGAGAAUAGAUUAAUAAACUGUGGGGGCAGGGGAGAUGAUGGACUGACUGCAAAACUGCAUAAGGGAAUUCCUGGGGUGAUGGACACAUUUCGUAUUAUGGCUGCAGUGACUGUUACAGGUGUCUAUCUACAUUUGUCAGUGCUCAUCAAACUGUAUAUUUAAUGUGACUGCAUUUUAUUGUAUCUACAUUAACCCUCAAUAAAGUUGAUUUUAAAGAAAGAAAAUAAUGAGUACAAUUGAGAAUUUAGAGCUGAUAUUGUGAUUUUUUUUUCCUUUGGUCAGAAGCUAUAGUGAGAGAGAAAUGUGCCCAGGAAUCCCUUUUGAGUAAAGUGGCAAGACUCAGAGCAAGAGAGACACUCAAGACAGGAUAUAUUCGAAAGUGAUGAGAAAGGAAUGAGAAAAGCAUGAGAAGUGAUGAGUCCCUAAGGAGAUUUGUUCAAAGGUCAAGAGUGAAAGAAAGUCAAAGCUCUGCAGUUAAGAAGAAAAAUACACCACUGAAACUUUCAGAUGCCUUGAGACAAGAUUCUUCUUCCAGAAUUCUAGUAUCAUUCCAAGGCUGGACUCUUCAGAAGUGAUUGCCUGCAAAUUUAGGAUGAGAACAAAAUCACAGUUCAAGGUUCUCCAGAAAAACAGACCCAAU